rnacentral:rRNA from 1 species
CAUCAGUAGCCACGGGAAUACAGAGGGUGCGAGCGUUAAUCGGAUUUACUGGGCGUAAAGCGUGCGUAGGCGGCUUCUUAAGUCGGAUGUGAAAUCCCUGAGCUUAACUUAGGAAUUGCAUUCGAUACUGGGAAGCUAGAGUAUGGGAGAGGAUGGUAGAAUUCCAGGUGUAGCGGUGAAAUGCGUAGAGAUCUGGAGGAAUACCGAUGGCGAAGGCAGCCAUCUGGCCUAAUACUGACGCUGAGGUACGAAAGCAUGGGGAGCAAACAGGAUUAAAUACCCGUGUAGUCCCUGUCUCUUAUAC